rnacentral:lncRNA from 1 species
CUAACAGGUUAUAAUAGACCUGUACCAUGUGUGACCCCUCUCUCUCUCUCCUAUCUCUCUCUCUAACAGUUAUAAUAGACCUGUACCACGGUGUGACCUCUCUCUCUCUCUCUAACAGUUAUAAUAGACCUGUAC